GUCACAAAAAAACUACACCUUUCUUCUACUUUGUUCUUUGCAACCUUUCAUGCUAAAGAAAACUUCUGAUUUAGCAUCCACGGAUUUCUAGCAAGUAGUUGCUUCAAUUUCAGCUCUGUUCACCAGUUCGGCAUAUUUGGGGUUGAUGGAUUCAUACUAAGGAAUUGCUUUACUUCAAGGUCAUUUCUUCUGUUCCUUGACUGUACCUUACAAUUUUAGUGGCUAAAUUUUGUUCUCGAUCAAUACAUC